UCAAAUCCGCAAUUCCAAAAUUCGACUUCAGUUCCACCUUCUCCGUAUUCAAUAAAAGAGAAACGUUUUCAAAAUUUUUAGAAACUCUUCAAGUCGAUUCAAAAAAUAUGAGUUCGUUGAAGCUUACUGCCGUUCCGAUGGUCGGAUUCAUCUUCUUGAUUCUUCUUCAAUUGGCUCACGCCCACUCUCACGAUAUUUCUCCGACGCCGGCGGGUCCUUCUAACGACGGAGCUGCAAUUGACCAAGGGAUUGCGUAUGUUCUUCUUCUAGUUGCUCUUGUUGUUACUUACAUCAUCCAUUAAUAAUUGUUAUGGAGUGGUCUCAGUGAUUCAAAUUAUUUUGGCUUCCAUAUUUAAUUUACCCCCUUUUUUUUCUUUUUUGUAGUUUUUUCUCCGUUUAUUGAUGUAAAAAUUGCGUUAGAAUUUUGAAAUUCAUUAUUAUUCUUUUUACUUAAAUUGAAUAUAAUUCAAUAUCUUAGUUCGUUGA